rnacentral:rRNA from 1 species
CCUACGGGGGGCAGCAGUAGGGAAUCUUCCACAAUGGACGAAAGUCUGAUGGAGCAACGCCGCGUGAGUGAAGAAGGGUUUCGGCUCGUAAAGCUCUGUUGGUAGUGAAGAAAGAUAGAGGUAGUAACUGGCCUUGAUGUGACGGUAAUGACUGAGAAAGUCACGGCUAACUACGGGCCAGCAGCCGCGGUAAUACGUAGGUGGCAAGCGUUGUCCGGAGUUAUUGGGCGUAAAGCGAGUGCAGUCGGUGAAAUAAGUCUGAUGUGCAAGCCUUCGGAUCAACCGGAGAAUUGCAUCAGAAACUGUUGAACUUGAGUGCAGAAGAGGAGAGUGGAACUCCAUGUGUAGCGGUGGAAUGCGUAGAUAUAUGGAAGAACACCAGUGGCGAAGGCGGCUCUCUGGUCUGCAACUGACGCUGAGGCUCGAACGCAUGGGUAGCGAACAGGAUUAGAUACCCGUGUAGUC